rnacentral:tRNA from 3 species
GGGUGCUUAGCUCAGCCGGUAGAGCGGCGCCCUUACAAGGCGUAGGUCGGGAGUUCGAUCCUCUCAGCACCCACCA